GGUUAAGCGACUAAGCGUACACGGUGGAUGCCCUGGCAGUCAGAGGCGAUGAAGGACGUGCUAAUCUGCGAUAAGCGUCGGUAAGGUGAUAUGAACCGUUAUAACCGGCGAUUUCCGAAUGGGGAAACCCAGUGUGUUUCGAUACACUAUCAUUAACUGAAUCCAUAGGUUAAUGAGGCGAACCGGGGGAACUGAAACAUCUAAGUACCCCGAGGAAAAGAAAUCAACCGAGAUUCCCCCAGUAGCGGCGAGCGAACGGGGAGCAGCCCAGAGCCUGAAUCAGUGUGUGUGUUAGUGGAAGCGUCUGGAAAGGCGCGCGAUACAGGGUGACAGCCCCGUACACAAAAAUACACAUACUGUGAGCUCGAUGAGUAGGGCGGGACACGUGGUAUCCUGUCUGAAUAUGGGGGGACCAUCCUCCAAGGCUAAAUACUCCUGACUGACCGAUAGUGAACCAGUACCGUGAGGGAAAGGCGAAAAGAACCCCGGCGAGGGGAGUGAAAAAGAACCUGAAACCGUGUACGUACAAGCAGUGGGAGCACGCUUAGGCGUGUGACUGCGUACCUUUUGUAUAAUGGGUCAGCGACUUAUAUUCUGUAGCAAGGUUAACCGAAUAGGGGAGCCGAAGGGAAACCGAGUCUUAACUGGGCGUUAAGUUGCAGGGUAUAGACCCGAAACCCGGUGAUCUAGCCAUGGGCAGGUUGAAGGUUGGGUAACACUAACUGGAGGACCGAACCGACUAAUGUUGAAAAAUUAGCGGAUGACUUGUGGCUGGGGGUGAAAGGCCAAUCAAACUGGGAGAUAGCUGGUUCUCCCCGAAAGCUAUUUAGGUAGCGCCUCGUGAAUUCAUCUCCGGGGGUAGAGCACUGUUUCGGCAAGGGGGUCAUCCCGACUUACCAACCCGAUGCAAACUGCGAAUACCGGAGAAUGUUAUCACGGGAGACACACGGCGGGUGCUAACGUCCGUCGUGAAGAGGGAAACAACCCAGACCGCCAGCUAAGGUCCCAAAGUCAUGGUUAAGUGGGAAACGAUGUGGGAAGGCCCAGACAGCCAGGAUGUUGGCUUAGAAGCAGCCAUCAUUUAAAGAAAGCGUAAUAGCUCACUGGUCGAGUCGGCCUGCGCGGAAGAUGUAACGGGGCUAAACCAUGCACCGAAGCUGCGGCAGCGACGCUUAUGCGUUGUUGGGUAGGGGAGCGUUCUGUAAGCCUGCGAAGGUGUGCUGUGAGGCAUGCUGGAGGUAUCAGAAGUGCGAAUGCUGACAUAAGUAACGAUAAAGCGGGUGAAAAGCCCGCUCGCCGGAAGACCAAGGGUUCCUGUCCAACGUUAAUCGGGGCAGGGUGAGUCGACCCCUAAGGCGAGGCCGAAAGGCGUAGUCGAUGGGAAACAGGUUAAUAUUCCUGUACUUGGUGUUACUGCGAAGGGGGGACGGAGAAGGCUAUGUUGGCCGGGCGACGGUUGUCCCGGUUUAAGCGUGUAGGCUGGUUUUCCAGGCAAAUCCGGAAAAUCAAGGCUGAGGCGUGAUGACGAGGCACUACGGUGCUGAAGCAACAAAUGCCCUGCUUCCAGGAAAAGCCUCUAAGCAUCAGGUAACAUCAAAUCGUACCCCAAACCGACACAGGUGGUCAGGUAGAGAAUACCAAGGCGCUUGAGAGAACUCGGGUGAAGGAACUAGGCAAAAUGGUGCCGUAACUUCGGGAGAAGGCACGCUGAUAUGUAGGUGAGGUCCCUCGCGGAUGGAGCUGAAAUCAGUCGAAGAUACCAGCUGGCUGCAACUGUUUAUUAAAAACACAGCACUGUGCAAACACGAAAGUGGACGUAUACGGUGUGACGCCUGCCCGGUGCCGGAAGGUUAAUUGAUGGGGUUAGCCGCAAGGCGAAGCUCUUGAUCGAAGCCCCGGUAAACGGCGGCCGUAACUAUAACGGUCCUAAGGUAGCGAAAUUCCUUGUCGGGUAAGUUCCGACCUGCACGAAUGGCGUAAUGAUGGCCAGGCUGUCUCCACCCGAGACUCAGUGAAAUUGAACUCGCUGUGAAGAUGCAGUGUACCCGCGGCAAGACGGAAAGACCCCGUGAACCUUUACUAUAGCUUGACACUGAACAUUGAGCCUUGAUGUGUAGGAUAGGUGGGAGGCUUAGAAGUGUGGACGCCAGUCUGCAUGGAGCCGACCUUGAAAUACCACCCUUUAAUGUUUGAUGUUCUAACGUUGACCCGUAAUCCGGGUUGCGGACAGUGUCUGGUGGGUAGUUUGACUGGGGCGGUCUCCUCCUAAAGAGUAACGGAGGAGCACGAAGGUUGGCUAAUCCUGGUCGGACAUCAGGAGGUUAGUGCAAUGGCAUAAGCCAGCUUGACUGCGAGCGUGACGGCGCGAGCAGGUGCGAAAGCAGGUCAUAGUGAUCCGGUGGUUCUGAAUGGAAGGGCCAUCGCUCAACGGAUAAAAGGUACUCCGGGGAUAACAGGCUGAUACCGCCCAAGAGUUCAUAUCGACGGCGGUGUUUGGCACCUCGAUGUCGGCUCAUCACAUCCUGGGGCUGAAGUAGGUCCCAAGGGUAUGGCUGUUCGCCAUUUAAAGUGGUACGCGAGCUGGGUUUAGAACGUCGUGAGACAGUUCGGUCCCUAUCUGCCGUGGGCGCUGGAGAACUGAGGGGGGCUGCUCCUAGUACGAGAGGACCGGAGUGGACGCAUCACUGGUGUUCGGGUUGUCAUGCCAAUGGCACUGCCCGGUAGCUAAAUGCGGAAGAGAUAAGUGCUGAAAGCAUCUAAGCACGAAACUUGCCCCGAGAUGAGUUCUCCCUGACUCCUUGAGAGUCCUGAAGGAACGUUGAAGACGACGACGUUGAUAGGCCGGGUGUGUAAGCGCAGCGAUGCGUUGAGCUAACCGGUACUAAUGAACCGUGAGGCUUAACCUU
rnacentral:rRNA from 1 species